rnacentral:lncRNA from 1 species
GGACUGAAUAUGGUGCUGGGGAGUAGCCUGUUUGCUGUGCUUGAUCACGAGCUGCUGCGAAGUUGUGACUUUCACUUUCCCUUUCGAAUUCCUGGGUAUGUCUGGGAGGCCGGAGGAUGUGUCUGGUUAUUACACAGACUCAUAACUGUAGGUGGGAUCCACACAGCUCAGAACAGCUGGAUCUUGCUCAGUCUCUGUCAGGGGAAGGUUCCUUGGAGGAGGCCCUGGAGCCCGAGACAUGGAGGGAGCCGCUUUGCUGAGACUCUUUGUCCUCUGCAUCUGGUGAGCUUGGCUCAGUGCCCUGAAGCAGGAGGGAGGGCUCCCUGUCUGUUCUGCACAACUGGGGAGGGCUUGGGCUGGGCCAGGGCCAUCUGGGCUUCUUCUAGGAACCAAAGUCACUUCCCGGAAUAG